ACCUGCCAAAAAUAGAUAUGAAAUAAAAAUUACAAAAACAUAAGAUAUAGCUAAUGAUGUAAUUUUUGAUUUGUGAUUCAUACCAGACAUCUGAUGGAGACGAGAAAAUACCAUCCUUAAGGGAUUCAGGAGCCAUCCAACGUACAGAAAUAGCAAAAUACACAGUAUUACUCCAUGAUCCAUUGCCAGCAGGUGUUAUAGCCCUUAUACGUGCACUGUAGUUACCCACAAUACCAACUCUUUCAAUCCAUGUUGGUUGUUUUGCAAGCUGACAAGCUACUUCUGGUUUUUCUCGGGAUGGCUAUACAGACAAAAGAGAUGGAAUUCUUUAAAAAUGAGAGGGAAAGCAGAGAAAUUACUGCAAUGACAGACAGUAAACUACUCUACUUACUUGGAAUAUUUCAAUGUCAUACUUCAGCACCACAGAGUUAGGGUCCUUGGGUGCAAUCCAUGAUAUGUUGUACUGAAACGAUGACCAGGAAAGAAACAUGAGACAAACAAACAACAAUUAAACAAUCAAAGUUUAUUCACAUCAACUCAUUUUAACUACUGUAAUAAUAAUUGAUUGAGACAAUCAGGUUACAAAUACACUUGAAACUUAUAUUCCAGUUGAUUACCCUUUUUGUGUUAUUUUGAACUAUCACUGUUGCUGGUCCCCCGAGAUUAUCUGCAAAAGCUGAAAUGACAAGGAAAAAACCCAGUUAGAAUCCUUACCCCCAUGGAUAAAGCCUAUUAAACAAUACAUACCUUUCCUGCCAGUACGACCCUUAGUACUUGAACAAGCAGUGUCUUGUGCACAUCGUACCUUCGUACAAGCACAGACCUGAUAAAGUACAGAUAUCAUGAUUCUAUUAGUUGCAAUAUUUAGAUAAUUGGUCAACAACAUCAGUGGUCUCAUUAAUACCAUGAUGGUGUAAUCUGUAAAAUGCCUCAGUCCAGUUAAACGUAGCUCUGCCUUGGA